rnacentral:rRNA from 1 species
AGUUGAUCAUGGCUCAGGAUGAACGCUAGCUACAGGCUUAACACAUGCAAGUCGAGGGGCAGCAUGGUCUUAGCUUGCUAAGAUUGAUGGCGACCGGCGCACGGGUGAGUAACGCGUAUCCAACCUUCCCUAUAGUAGGGGAUAGCCCGUAGAAAUGCGGAUUAAUACCCUAUGUUGAUUUUGAGGACAUCUGAUGAAUACCAAAGGUUCACCGCUAUAGGAUGGGGAUGCGUCUGAUUAGGUAGUCGGCGGGGUAACGGCCCACCGAGCCAACGAUCAGUAGGGGUUCUGAGAGGAAGGUCCCCCACAUUGGAACUGAGACACGGUCCAAACUCCUACGGGAGGCAGCAGUGAGGAAUAUUGGUCAAUGGGCGAGAGCCUGAACCAGCCAAGUAGCGUGCCAGGAUGACGGCCCUAUGGGUUGUAAACUGCUUUUAUGCGGGGAUAAAGUGAGGGACGUGUCCCUUAUUGUAGGUACCGCAUGAAUAAGGACCGGCUAAUUCCGUGCCAGCAGCCGC